UGAAGGAUGCGUAGGAUGAGCUAAAUUUGUUUGUUCCUUUCUUUCUCGGAACCGCAGCUCGAGGCUGGGCAGGCAGCUGUCUCGCCCUCCCGUGAGCCCCGUGCAGGCACCAGCAUGCUCGGAGGUUGGCUCUCAGGACUCGGAUUCCUUGUCUGGGCCCUUCCUGCUGUGGGCGGCCUCCAGCACCCCAGGAAUCCGGGGCUAGAAUCCUGGGCCAGGGGGCGGGGGGUAGAAAUGUGGAGCCACUUACCCCAGACCCGGGGUGAAAUCAUCACCUUUUAAAAGCAGGCGAGCAGAGCUGCAGAACGCAGAUGCCCGGGCCUGGGGACAGCGACGUGGGCCACACCCUGGAAAACCACAGCAGUGCCGGCCGCCCCCGCUUUCACUGCUCAGACCUGUGGGAAACUUGUAAGACACACGCCGCGUGGGGAGGGGCCGCGGCAUCCCAGGCCCCGCUGGCUUGGCAGAGUCCCUGCCCGGAAUUGUCUGUUUUCGGAAAGCCUUGCCGGGCCACAGCCGGCCCGGCCGCACGCACGGCUGCGGUGGUUUUUCAGAAGUGCUUUGGGAGACUUUCGAAAGGUACCCCGGGGUGGGGAAGUGAAAGGCGGGGGGGCCGGGUUAGAAACUGCUUCUUUAUUUCUGGCCUCGCCUGAGCGGCUGCCUGACGGUUACUGCUCGGGUUCUGCUGAGUCAGAAGCAUCCCCCAGCUGCUCACCGGAAACACAGCUGCUGGGCGAAAAUAACCACAGCGCGGAGCAUCGGAGCAUCGUGCACCUUCCAGAAAAGAGGGCAGAAAACCUCAAAACAAAAGAGAAAAGCACAAAACAAGAGGUGCUGUCGAAAACGCACGGCGGCUCACGGAGCCAAAGCCCACGGCUCUCCUUGUCGCCCACAGCGGGAGGAGGAGCGAGCGCUAACUGCUUCUCCCCUGCUCCCUGCCCAGGCCCUAAACCCCGGGGCCUGCAGAUGUGACCGCAUCUGGAAAAGGGGUCUUUGCAGGUGUACUUAACCUAAGGAGCUCAACAUGAGGCCAUCCUGCAUUGCCUGGUGGGCCCUGCAUCCAAACACAGGCGUCCGUCCCUGUAAGAGUGAGGCAGGAGGUGAGACGCACAGAGGGAAAGACCAGGUGGAGACGGAGGCCGGCAUUGGAGGAGAGCACGCCUGACGAUGACGCCAAAACCAAGGAGAGCAGAGGGGAGAGAUAGAGAUUCGUGAUGACGUGGUUUGAGUUCCUGGAAGCAGCAGUGCCUGAAACCAUCAGUUCCUCCCAACUUCCCAGGCAAUACAUGCUCUUCGUGCUCAAGAUAAUCUGAGUUGGUCACUUUUGAACAAAGGCCUCCAGACUCCCACAAUAUCUUAUGUGAUAAUCUCAGCAAGUCAAGGAGGAACGCAUCUGAUUAUUCCCAUUUUGUGAGAAGAAAUUGAGGCUUAAAGACAUUUAAUCACUUGCUCAAAAUUGCACUGCUAGUAAGUGGCAGAGCUGUGAUUUGAACCUGGGGCUGUGAUCUGAUCUCCUGAGCCCCCGGAAGGCAAAGGAGGAUGUGGUUCAUGCCCCUAGGCCUUGGGGUCAUGCCUUGGGAAAGUCACAUGAGUCUCAAGGCCUGUGUGGCUCAUCCGUAAAAUAACAGAGUUGGUGUGUUUUUAAGCUGUUAAAAAUCUGUAUGAGUACAAAGGUUACGAUGACAAUGAACCAGGUGUUCUCAGUCCAUAACUGACAGAGGUUAGCAUGUGUCAUGCUUGCCUCAGAGACAAGAUGAUUUCUGAACAGCCAUACAGUUCCUGUCUCUGUAUCUGGAUUCUGGAUUCUGAAAUGCCAAGGAGGUCUGACUCUGGGUAACUUGGAUUUAAAAGCAAGAAUACAAAAGUCUUUUCUACCGAUCCACAUAUUUACAAUUUCUGGCAUUUUUCAUUCCUUGUGUAGAUCUGAGUCUCCUGGCAUCAUUUUUUUCUUCAGCCUGGAAAGAACUUCUCUUAAUAUUUCUUAUAGUGCAAGUCUGAUGGUCACAAAUUCUACCACCUCUUGUUUGUCUGGAGAGCAUUUUUAUUUCGCCUUCGUAUUUUAAGGAUACUUUCACUGGAUAUAGACUCUUGGUUGCAAGUUGUUAUUUUAUUUUAUUUUUAAUACAACCAACUAAGAAUGUCAUUCCAUUGUCUUAUGGCUUGCAUUGCUUUUAAGGAAAAAUUAGCGAUUUCUUAUUUGUGUGCAUAAUAUGUGAUACAUCAUUUUAUCUUGGCUGCUUUUAAGAUUUUCUCUUCAUUGCUGAAUUUCAGUAAUUUGAUUUUGUUUUCUUUGGGUUAACCUGCCUCAAAUUUGUUGAUUUCUUAGAUCUGUAGUUUUCUAGUUUUCAUCAGUUUUGGAACAUCUUCAGCCAUUAUAAUUUCAGGCAUUGUUUUUGCCCUCCUUUCCUACUUGGAUUCUAAUUACAAUGUAGGGUCAACCAUGUAAUAUUGUUGCAAAGAGCUCGAAUACUGUGAUCAUUUUUUCUAAUGUAAUUAUUUCCUUUUGAAUACUUUUGAAUAGUUUCUAUUACUAUAUUAUCAUGUGUAUUAAUUUUUUGCUCCUGCAAUCUUUAAUAUGCAGUUAAACCUAUCCAGUAAAAUUUUCAUUUUAGAUACUGUA